rnacentral:ncRNA from 1 species
UAUAUUAUUGCAGAAGAGAGGCGUAAUGAGCCCGCCGAAGGAGCAACAGCCCCGGAAUCUCUCAGGCAAAAGGACUGUAAUAAUGAU